rnacentral:hammerhead_ribozyme from 1 species
UUCCAGCUGACGAAUCUCAAAUAGGACGAAACACGCGCCCUGGAU